UGCGUAGGUGGCGCUGUAAGUGGGGUGUGAAAUCCCGGGGCUUAACUCCGGAACUGCAUUCCAUACUGCGGUGCUUGAGGACUGGAGAGGAGACUGGAAUUUACGGUGUAGCAGUGAAAUGCGUAGAGAUCGUAAGGAAGACCAGUGGCGAAGGCGGGUCUCUGGACAGUUCCUGACACUGAGGCACGAAGGCCAGGGGAGCAAACG
rnacentral:rRNA from 1 species